rnacentral:rRNA from 1 species
AUACAGGGGGAUAACACUUAGAAAUAGGUGCUAAUACCGCAUAAGCGCACGGUUCCGCAUGGAACAGUGUGAAAAACUUCGGUGGUAUACGAUGGAUCCGCGUCUGAUUAGCCAGUUGGCGGGGUAACGGCCCACCAAAGCGACGAUCAGUAGCCGGCCUGAGAGGGUGAACGGCCACAUUGGGACUGAGACACGGCCCAAACUCCUACGGGAGGCAGCAGUGGGGAAUAUUGCACAAUGGGGGAAACCCUGAUGCAGCGACGCCGCGUGAGUGAAGAAGUAUUUCGGUACGUAAAGCUCUAUCAGCAGGGAAGAAAAGAAGUCCUUUGGAUUUUGGACGGUACCUGACCAAGAAGCCCCGGCUAACUACGUGCCAGCAGCCGCGGUAAUACGUAGGGGGCAAGCGUUAUCCGGAUUUACUGGGUGUAAAGGGAGCGUAGACGGUAGCGCAAGUCUGGAGUGAAAUGCCGGGGCCCAACCCCGGAACUGCUUUGGAAACUGUGCAGCUCGAGUGCAGGAGAGGUAAGCGGAAUUCCUAGUGUAGCGGUGAAAUGCGUAGAUAUUAGGAGGAACACCAGUGGCGAAGGCGGCUUACUGGACUGUAACUGACGUUGAGGCUCGAAAGCGUGGGGAGCAAACAGGAUUAGAUACCCUGGUAGUCCACGCCGUAAACGAUGAUUACUAGGUGUCGGGGAGCCAAGGCUCUCCGGUGCCGCCGCAAACGCAUUAAGUAAUCCACCUGGGGAGUACGUUCGCAAGAAUGAAACUC